ACUUAGUACAGUAAUGAAACAUAAGUACUCAUUAAUGUUAUUGACUUUAAUCUAUAAAGUAGUUCUAUCUCUUUUCUGAUUAACAGAAAAGUAAGUAACGUGCUCAAAAAAAAAAAUGACAGAAUGAGGAAGUGAGCCUGAAGUUGCCCAAAGUCCAUCUAUUCUCUUCAGUCCUUCUGCGUCAGCGAUCCCAGAAGCAAUAACGCCAGGUUCCAGGUGGAGACUUUGAAGAGAAGGGUGUGUCGGGGACGGCACUAAGAAUAUAGUCACAAUGCAGGCAGAAGUCUGUAACAGUAAUACCGGAAAGCUACAAUCAAAUUUAUCAAGGGGUGUCAUUCUCUAAUAAACUCAUUGCACUCAGAACUGUUUCAUCCAUCAAUUCCUGAAACCAGCAGUCACUGAAUCACAAACAACCACGAAACGUCAGUGACACAAAACACCGGACAUUUCUUACUGUGUAGGAGCGAACAGGACAGCCGGCAGCAGUUGAACAUUCGCUGGGCCACUCAGGGGUCUGUGGUCAGCUGCCGGUCGGGUAAGCAGUUCUGACCUCGACUAGGUUGUCUGCUAUGUUUGGGGGUUGCCUGGCUGUGGCCUUGUGUGGAAGGCCCUGCGUGGGACAAGCAGCCUUUCUUUCACAUCGUGUCCUGUUUAGGAGGCUUGCCCAGUCUGGCUCACAUGGCAGGAGGGCAAGCUGACAUGAGCAAGGCCUCUUGGGAUAUAGACUUGGAAUUCACACCCUGUCGGCUUCAUGGGGGAAGGGAACCGUUUCCUGAUGUAGGAGACUGAAAGGCUCAUGGUGAAGUGAAGACAGAUAGGGGGAGGCAUAGGGAAUUGGAACACUUCUGCAACCAUCUACCCAGAAGAAUUCCCUACAUUUAAGCACGCUGAACCAAGGCUAGAGAGAUCUCAGUCGGCUGCACUGUGCCUUUUCUUUCUUUUUUUCAUGGUGCUGGAGAUAGCAUGUGCUAGGCAAGCACUCUACCACACAGCUACAUACUCAGCCUAUAUG